ACCCAAGAGAAGGAUGCAAGGAAUUCUCAUAAUGUAAAUCUCCAAAUAGAUAAGUGCAAUAAUUGUUGCUUGGGCCACUGCCCAUUCCUGAGCAUCUGUAAGAUGGGUGACUGCAUCACGAUUUGUAGCAAUGAAGAGACAUCCAGGAUUUUCCCUUAUACAGAGUGUUCCAUACUGGACUUUGUAGUAGUUGAAAUAGCGAUCAAAUCCAACAACAACUG